UUUUGCUCAAUGGGCGCAAGCCUGAAGCAGCAACGCCGCGUGAGGGAUGAAGGCCUUCGGGUUGUAAACCUCUUUUCUCAGGGACGAUGAUGACGGUACCUGAGGAAUAAGUCACGGCUAACUACGUGCCAGCAGCCGCGGUAAUACGUAAGUGACUAGCGUUGUCCGGAUUUACUGGGCGUAAAGAGCGCGCAGGCGGUCGUUCAAGUCGAGUGUGAAAGCCCCCGGCUCAACUGGGGAGGGUCACUCGAUACUGAUCGACUUGAAGGCGGGAGAGGGUAGUGGAAUUCCCGGUGUAGUGGUGAAAUGCGUAGAUAUCGGGAGGAACACCAGUGGCGAAGGCGACUACCUGGCCCGUUCUUGACGCUGAGGCGCGAAAGCUAGGGGAGCAAACGG
rnacentral:rRNA from 1 species